UGGGAGAUAGUAUAUGGGUAGUACGGGGGGUUUUGGGACCCCAGGUACGGGUUCAAGUCCUGUUCUUCUAA
rnacentral:tRNA from 1 species